rnacentral:rRNA from 1 species
AAAUUGAAGAGUUUGAUCAUGGCUCAGAUUGAACGCUGGCGGCAGGCCUAACACAUGCAAGUCGAACGGUAACAGGAAGCAGCUUGCUGCUUCGCUGACGAGUGGCGGACGGGUGAGUAAUGUCUGGGAAACUGCCUGAUGGAGGGGGAUAACUACUGGAAACGGUGGCUAAUACCGCAUAACGUCGCAAGACCAAAGAGGGGGACCUUCGGGCCUCUUGCCAUCAGAUGUGCCCAGAUGGGAUUAGCUUGUUGGUGAGGUAACGGCUCACCAAGGCGACGAUCCCUAGCUGGUCUGAGAGGAUGACCAGCCACACUGGAACUGAGACACGGUCCAGACUCCUACGGGAGGCAGCAGUGGGGAAUAUUGCACAAUGGGCGCAAGCCUGAUGCAGCCAUGCCGCGUGUAUGAAGAAGGCCUUCGGGUUGUAAAGUACUUUCAGCGGGGAGGAAGGUGUUGUGGUUAAUAACCGCAGCAAUUGACGUUACCCGCAGAAGAAGCACCGGCUAACUCCGUGCCAGCAGCCGCGGUAAUACGGAGGGUGCAAGCGUUAAUCGGAAUUACUGGGCGUAAAGCGCACGCAGGCGGUCUGUCAAGUCGGAUGUGAAAUCCCCGGGCUCAACCUGGGAACUGCAUUCGAAACUGGCAGGCUUGAGUCUUGUAGAGGGGGGUAGAAUUCCAGGUGUAGCGGUGAAAUGCGUAGAGAUCUGGAGGAAUACCGGUGGCGAAGGCGGCCCCCUGGACAAAGACUGACGCUCAGGUGCGAAAGCGUGGGGAGCAAACAGGAUUA